rnacentral:rRNA from 1 species
AACGCGAAGAACCUUACCUGGGUUUGACAUGCGCAGGACGCGUCUAGAGAUAGGCGUUCCCUUGUGGCCUGUGUGCAGGUGGUGCAUGGCUGUCGUCAGCUCGUGUCGUGAGAUGUUGGGUUAAGUCCCGCAACGAGCGCAACCCUUGUCUCAUGUUGCCAGCACGUAAUGGUGGGGACUCGUGAGAGACUGCCGGGGUCAACUCGGAGGAAGGUGGGGAUGACGUCAAGUCAUCAUGCCCCUUAUGUCCAGGGCUUCACACAUGCUACAAUGGCCGGUACAAAGGGCUGCGAUGCCGUGAGGCUUAGCGAAUCCUUUAAAGCCGGUCUCAGUUCGGAUCGGGGUCUGCAACUCGACCCCGUGAAGUCGGAGUCGCUAGUAAUCGCAGAUCAGCAACGCUGCGGUGAAUACGUUCCCGGGCCUUGUACACACCGAGACGAC